rnacentral:lncRNA from 1 species
AGAAAACUGGAGUGGGUUGCCUAAGAACACACAGAACUCUGCAACACAAUUCUCCAGCAGUUUGAAGUAUGUGUACUUUCCAGCCCUUUUCUCUGCCUACUACACCUUGUAAACAUGUUCUGAACAGAUGGGAGAGCGAUCCACUGCAGUUAACCCCAGACACACACAGAGAACCCAAGGCUUUCUACAGAGCACCCCAGAGGACAAGCAGCACCCUUGAUUCCCUUCUC